rfam:Myotis davidii contig89941, whole genome shotgun sequence.
GCCAGAGUGGCUCAAUGGUUGAGCAUUGACAUAUGAACCAGGAGAUCAGGGUUCGAUUCCCUGUGAGGGCA